AUUGAACGCUGGCGGCAGGCCUAACACAUGCAAGUCGAGCGGAGCGGCGGACGGGUGAGUAAUGCUUGGGAAUCUGCCUGGUAGUGGGGGAUAAGGUCCGGAAACGGGCGCUAAUACUGCAUACUAUCAGAUGAGGCUAGGUCGGAUUAGCUAGUUGGUGGGGUAAGGGCCGACCAAGGCGACGAUCCGUAACUGGUCUGAGAGGAUGAUCAGGCACACUGGAACUGAGACACGGUCCAGACUCCUACGGGAGGCAGCAGUGGGGAAGAUUGGACAAUGGGCGAAAGCCUGAUGCAGCCAUGCCGCGUGUGUGAAGAAGGCCUUCGGAUUGUAAAGCACUUUCAGUUGGGAGGCGUUACCAGCAGAAUAAGCACCGGCUAACUUCGUGCCAGCAGCCGCGGUAAUAC
rnacentral:rRNA from 1 species